GACGAACGCUGGCGGCGUGCUUAACACAUGCAAGUCGAACGGAAAGGCCCUGCUUUUGUGGGGUGCUCGAGUGGCGAACGGGUGAGUAACACGUGAGUAACCUGCCCUUGACUUUGGGAUAACUUCAGGAAACUGGGGCUAAUACCGGAUAGGAGCUCCUGCUGCAUGGUGGGGGUUGGAAAGUUUCGGCGGUUGGGGAUGGACUCGCGGCUUAUCAGCUUGUUGGUGGGGUAGUGGCUUACCAAGGCUUUGACGGGUAGCCGGCCUGAGAGGGUGACCGGCCACAUUGGGACUGAGAUACGGCCCAGACUCCUCCGGGAGGCAGCAGUGGGGAAUAUUGCACAAUGGGCGGAAGCCUGAUGCAGCAACGCCGCGUGCGGGAUGACGGCCUUCGGGUUGUAAUCCGCUUUCGCCUGUGACGAAGCGUGAGUGACGGUAAUGGGUAAAGAAGCACCGGCUAACUACGUG
rnacentral:rRNA from 1 species